UAGGGAAUCUUCGGCAAUGGACGAAAGUCUGACCGAGCAACGCCGCGUGAGUGAAGAAGGUUUUCGGAUCGUAAAACUCUGUUGUUAGAGAAGAACAAGGACGUUAGUAACUGAACGUCCCCUGACGGUAUCUAACCAGAAAGCCACGGCUAACUACGUGCCAGCAGCCGCGGUAAUACGUAGGUGGCAAGCGUUGUCCGGAUUUAUUGGGCGUAACGCGAGCGCAGGCGGUUUCUUAAGUCUGAUGUGAAAGCCCCCGGCUCAACCGGGGAGGGUCAUUGGAAACUGGGAGACUUGAGUGCAGAAGAGGAGAGUGGAAUUCCAUGUGGAGCGGUGAAAUGCGUAGAUAUAUGGAGAAACACAAGUGGCGAAGGCGGCUCUCUGGUCUGUAACUGACGCUGAGGCUCGAAAGCGUGGGGAGCAAACAGG
rnacentral:rRNA from 1 species